rnacentral:rRNA from 1 species
UACGAAGGGGGCUAGCGUUGUUCGGAAUUACUGGGCGUAAAGCGCGCGCAGGCGGUCUUCCAAGUCAGUGGUGAAAGCCCGGAGCUCAACUCCGGAACUGCCAUUGAAACUGUUGGACUUGAGUACGAGAGAGGUGAGUGGAAUUCCCAGUGUAGAGGUGAAAUUCGUAGAUAUUCGGAAGAACACCAGUGGCGAAGGCGGCUCACUGGCCCGUUACCGACGCUCAGGCGCGACAGCGUGGGGAGCAAACAGG